rnacentral:rRNA from 1 species
GAACGAACGCUGGUCGCAGGCCUAAACAUGCAAGUCGAGCGCCCCGCAAGGGGAGCGGCCGACGGGUUAGCCCCCUCGUGGGAACGUACCCUUCUGUUCGGAACAACCCAGGGAAACUUGGGCUAAUACCGGAUACAUCCGUCAGGAGAAAGAUUUAUCGCUGAAGGAUCGGCCCGCGUCUGAUUAACUAGUUGGUGGGGUAACGGCCCACCAAGGCGACGAUCAGUAGCUGGUCUGACAGGAUGAUCAACCUCACUGGGACUGACACACAGCCCAGACUCCUACGGGAGGCAGCAAUGGG